rnacentral:rRNA from 1 species
CCUACGGGUGACUGCAGUCGAGAAUCUUUCACAAUGGGGGAAACCCUGAUGCUGCGACGCCGCGUGGGGGAAUGAAGGUCUUCGGAUUGUAAACUCCUGUAAUGUGGGAGCAAAUUAAAAUGAUAGUACCACAAGAGGAAGAGACGGCUAACUCUGUGCCAGCAGCCGCGGUAAUACAGAGGGCUCAAGCGUUGUUCGGAAUCACUGGGCGUAAAGCGUGCGUAGGCUGUUUCGUAAGUCGUGUGUGAAAGGCGCGGGCUCAACCCGCGGACGGCACAUGAUACUGCGAGACUAGAGUAAUGGAGGGGUAACCGGAAUUCUCGGUGUAGCAGUGAAAUGCGUAGAUAUCGAGAGGAACACUCGUGGCGAAGGCGGGUUACUGGACAGUAACUGACGCUGAGGCUCGAAGGCGAGGGGAGCGAAAGGGAUUAGAUACCCUAGUAGUC